AUUGAACGCUGGCGGCAGGCCUAACGCAUGCAAGUCGAGCGGUAGCACGGGGAGCUUGCUCCUGGGUGACGAGCGGCGGACGGGUGAGUAAUGUCUGGGAAACUGCCUGAUGGAGGGGGAUAACUACUGGAAACGGUAGCUAAUACCGCAUAACGUCGCAAGACCAAAGAGGGGGACCUUCGGGCCUCUUGCCAUCAGAUGUGCCCAGAUGGGAUUAGCUAGUAGGUGGGGUAACGGCUCACCUAGGCGACGAUCCCUAGCUGGUCUGAGAGGAUGACCAGCCACACUGGAACUGAGACACGGUCCAGACUCCUACGGGAGGCAGCAGUGGGGAAUAUUGCACAAUGGGCGCAAGCCUGAUGCAGCCAUGCCGCGUGUAUGAAGAAGGCCUUCGGGUUGUAAAGUACUUUCAGCGGGGAGGAAGGUGUCGAGGUUAAUAACCUCAGCAAUUGACGUUACCCGCAGAAGAAGCACCGGCUAACUCCGUGCCAGCCGCCGCUGUAA
rnacentral:rRNA from 1 species